GCACAAGCAGUGGAGUAUGUGGUUUAAUUCGAAGCAACGCGAAGAACCUUACCAGGUCUUGACAUCCGACUAACGAAGUAGAGAUACAUUAGGUGCCCUUUUUGGGAAAGUCGAGACAGGUGGUGCAUGGUUGUCGUCAGCUCGUGUCGUGAGAUGUUGGGUUAAGUCCCGCAACGAGCGCAACCCUUGUCAUUAGUUGCUACGUAAGAGCACUCUAAUGAGACUGCCGUUGACAAAA
rnacentral:rRNA from 1 species